GCCCACUUAGCUCAGAUGGUAGAGCACUUCCAUGGUAAGGAAGUGGUCCGCGGUUCGAUUCCGCGAGUGGGCUCCA
rnacentral:tRNA from 3 species